rnacentral:rRNA from 1 species
GGGACACGUGGUAUCCUGUCUGAAUAUGGGGGGACCAUCCUCCAAGGCUAAAUACUCCUGACUGACCGAUAGUGAACCAGUACCGUGAGGGAAAGGCGAAAAGAACCCCGGCGAGGGGAGUGAAAAAGAACCUGAAACCGUGUACGUACAAGCAGUGGGAGCACCUUCGUGGUGUGACUGCGUACCUUUUGUAUAAUGGGUCAGCGACUUAUAUUCUGUAGCAAGGUUAACCGAAUAGGGGAGCCGAAGGGAAACCGAGUCUUAACUGGGCGUUAAGUUGCAGGGUAUAGACCCGAAACCCGGUGAUCUAGCCAUGGGCAGGUUGAAGGUUGGGUAACACUAACUGGAGGACCGAACCGACUAAUGUUGAAAAAUUAGCGGAUGACUUGUGGCUGGGGGUGAAAGGCCAAUCAAACCGGGAGAUAGCUGGUUCUCCCCGAAAGCUAUUUAGGUAGCGCCUCGUGAAUUCAUCUCCGGGGGUAGAGCACUGUUUCGGCUAGGGGGCCAUCCCGGCUUACCAACCCGAUGCAAACUACGAAUACCGGAGAAUGUUAUCACGGGAGACACACGGCGGGUGCUAACGUCCGUCGUGAAGAGGGAAACAACCCAGACCGCCAGCUAAGGUCCCAAAGUCAUGGUUAAGUGGGAAACGAUGUGGGAAGGCACAGACAGCCAGGAUGUUGGCUUAGAAGCAGCCAUCAUUUAAAGAAAGCGUAAUAGCUCACUGGUCGAGUCGGCCUGCGCGGAAGAUGUAACGGGGCUAAACCAUGCACCGAAGCUGCGGCAGCGACACUAUGUGUUGUUGGGUAGGGGAGCGUUCUGUAAGCCUGCGAAGGUGUGCUGUGAGGCAUGCUGGAGGUAUCAGAAGUGCGAAUGCUGACAUAAGUAACGAUAAAGCGGGUGAAAAGCCCGCUCGCCGGAAGACCAAGGGUUCCUGUCCAACGUUAAUCGGGGCAGGGUGAGUCGACCCCUAAGGCGAGGCCGAAAGGCGUAGUCGAUGGGAAACAGGUUAAUAUUCCUGUACUUGGUGUUACUGCGAAGGGGGGACGGAGAAGGCUAUGUUAGCCGGGCGACGGUUGUC